AUGCCAGCGCACCUCGCGGGAACCACAGAAAUGUUCCUCCCGACCCAGAGUGUACACCGAACCGCAACUCACACCAGUUGCAGGAUGAGACCAUCCAGAGACUUUGAGAUGUUCUGCUCUCACACCAGGCCCGUGACUCCCAGGCUUCCCAGAUGGUUAAAUCAUGGUUUGUCCUGUUCCUGUGUGGGUCUCCAUCUUGUCUGGUUUGAUUUCCUCUGCAUCGACGACACUGCAGCAGCAUCAGGCACACUGGACUAAAGCCUCCGUCCAACUGAACCAGGGCUAGCUGGAUAUCCACGGGCAAGGAUCUUUCAGUCCUUGCCUGAACUGCAACAGAGCUGACUGGAUCUCCGGAGGAACAGUCGUAUGCAGCAAUACCAAAUUCAUCUUCAAAGCCAGACCAGCGGGCCCAGGAGCUCCAGAGUCAGGUAUAGUGCUUACUGCUAGGCCCAGGUUAUUUCAAGCCGGCCUCAGAUUCCGACUAUCAUUCUUUCUGCACGCAUCACUUUCAAUGCAUCUUGAACAAAAACAGCAUUUUGGGGAGCAAAUUAGAAAUAUUGUCAUCCCAGUUGUGCUUCAAUGAUUCAAUCUGGUUUAGCUUGUGUUAUGCCAUUUUGUUUUGGGAUGCAGAGAUGUAUGUCCACUGCACAAGCAGCGAAGUCAACUGAUAAACAUGUUCUGUAUGUCAAACAAGCACUUAGUCACAUUGACAAGCAAAACGAACUCUGAAGAUUGAUGGCUGGGUUCUUUACAUAGUACCAGAGAAGAAAAUUCUGCUUGCCACCUUCCACCAGAGAAAAAGCACUGACCAAUCUGAAUCCCUGGCUUUGUUGAUUGCUGGUGUAUGUGUCACUUGUUGCUGAGCCUCUGGGCAGACUCUAUUUGUGAUGUUCAAUCAGAGCCUGAGGUGUCAUCUCAGUCGCACUCCCUCAGUAUUGUUGACUGGAGCAUUCACAGUGCUGCCUUACCUACUCUCUGCGUAUUACUCUGUCUCCCUACCACACUGACCAUAUGAUCUCUCACCAUUUUCUCUCACUUUUUUUACCAACUCUGUCACUCACUCCGCGAGCUGCUUACUAAUUUCUUUUUUGUACUUUAUUUCUGUCCAUCACAAAUUGAAGAUACCCUGUGGAUUUUUUUGCUACUAGUGGCACUGUAGAGCAAAGUUUCAAUAAGCAGUAUUUCCACCAUUGACUGUCUAUAAAAAUGGACGUAGUCACUGGGUCCAGAAAAUGAAGCCAAUGCUGAAUUGCCUAAAACCUGUAUUCUCUGGAAUGACCAGCAGAGGCCGACUCCACUGGUUGCAAAAAGAAGUUGAUUUCUAUAGAAAAAGAAAAUGACUCUACUUCUCACUUGAUUUAUAAUGUCAUUAAACAUUUUCCUGAGGAGUUUAUGGUCUCAAUCUCUAGUUUUAAGUCUUAAUUCAAUACAAAAUGAUGUUAAUUUUUGUAAAUAACUGUCAAAUUUAGAGUAAAUUAGAUGAUGAAGCACGGUAUGCUAAUAAAGCUUGUGCCGUCCAGCGAGUCACAAGUGUAGGUGGACGUGCAGUGGAUGAGCUCUCAGUAAGACCCUGCCCCCCUCGCUCCUCUAGGUAUGGUUACUUCUGGUUUCAAAAAAACAAAAAGGCAGCUUACAAAUCAAUUGUUAACCUCACUGUGGGUUUCCACGUAUUAUUCAAACCUCCACCCUCUCUUUCUUUCAACCCCAAACAGUCGAGACUGAUGGCGAUGUAUGGUUCUGCUCAAGGUCUCUUCCUGUUGUAAGUUGGCGCUACACAAAUUAAAUUUAAUUUUGAUAACUGAUUUGAAGUGUGUCAUAGGUAGGAAAUGUGUUCAAAACUUUUGCUAGUCAUCAAGAAUACAC
ensembl:lncRNA